rnacentral:rRNA from 1 species
AGCAGCCGCGGUAAUUCCAGCUCCAAUAGCGUAUAUUAAAGUUGUUGCAGUUAAAAAGCUCGUAGUUGAAUUUUGGAUUCUUCCAAUUGGUCCAUCUUUUAGAUGAGUACUGGUUGUGUGGGGUCUAUCCGCCUGGUAAUACGUAAUGUCCUUUAUUGGAUGUUACGGGUAGUCAGGACCUUUACCUUGAAAAAUUAGAGUGUUUAAAGCAGGCUUAUGCCGGAAUACAUUAGCAUGGAAUAAUAGAAUAGGACGAAGUUGUUUUAUUUUGUUGGUUUCUAGGACAACCGUAAUGAUUAAUAGGGAUAGUUGGGGGCAUUAGUAUUCAAUUGUCAGAGGUGAAAUUCUUGGAUUUAUUGAAGACUAACUACUGCGAAAGCAUUUGCCAAGGAUGUUUUCAUUAAUCAAGAACGAAAGUUAGGGGAUCGAAGACGAUCAGAUACCGUCGUAGUCUUAACCAUAAACUAUGCCGACUAGGGAUCGGGCGAUGUUGUUUCCAUGACUCGCUCGGCACCUUAUG